CCCUUAGAUGUCCUGGGCCGCACGCGCGUUACACUGAUGCAUUCAACGAGCUUAUAACCUUGGCCGAGAGGCCUGGGCAAUCUUGUUAACGUGCAUCGUGAUAGGGAUAGAUUAUUGAAAUUAUUAAUCUUGAACGAGGAAUUCCUAGUAAACGCAGAUCAUCAAUCUGCAUUGAUUACGUCCCUGCCCUUUGUACACACCGCCCGUCGCACCUACCGAUUGGAUGUGCUGGUGAAAUGUUCGGAUCGGCCGUUUGUCGCGGUUUCCGCGGCUCGUGGCUGAGAAGUUCAUUAAACCCUCCCACCUAGAGGAAGGAGAAGUCGUAACA
rnacentral:rRNA from 1 species